UACCAGCACCCCGAGUGGUCGGGACGUUUAUUGGGCCUAAAGCAUCCGUAGCCGGUUCUACAAGUCUUCCGUUAAAUCCAGCUGCUUAACAGAUGGGCUGCGGAAGAUACUAUGGAGCUAGGAGGCGGGAGAGGCAAGCGGUACUCGAUGGGUAGGGGUAAAAUGUGUAGAUAUAUGGAAGAACAUCAAUAACGGCGAAGGCAGUUAACUAUUCUGUUACCGACGUUGAGGCACGAAAGCGUGGGGAGCAAAAAGG
rnacentral:rRNA from 1 species